CCAGACUCCUACGGGAGGCAGCAGUGGGGAAUUUUGGACAAUGGGCGCAAGCCUGAUCCAGCAAUGCCGCGUGCAGGAAGAAGGCCUUCGGGUUGUAAACUGCUUUUGUCAGGGAAGAAAUCUUCUGGGCUAAUACCCCGGGAGGAUGACGGUACCUGAAGAAUAAGCACCGGCUAACUACGUGCCAGCAGCCGCGGUAAUACGUAGGGUGCGAGCGUUAAUCGGAAUUUACUGGGCGUAAAGCGUGCGCAGGCGGCUUUGCAAGACAGAUGUGAAAUCCCCGGGCUCAACCUGGGAACUGCAUUUGUGACUGCAAGGCUAGAGUACGGCCAGAGGGGGAUGGAAUUCCGCGUGUAGCAGUGAAAUGCGUAGAUAUGCGGAGGAACACCAAUGGCGAAGGCAAUCCCCUGGGCCUGUACUGACGCUCAUGCACGAAAGCGUGGGGAGCAAACAGGAUUAGAUACCCUGGUAGUCCACGCCCUAAACGAUGUCAACUGGUUGUUGGACGGCUUGCUGUUCAGUAACGAAGCUAACGCGUGAAGUUGACCGCCUGGGGAGUACGGCCGCAAGGUUGAAACUCAAAGGAAUUGACGGGGGACCCGCACAAGCGGUGGAUGAUGUGGUUUAAUUCGAUGCAACGCGAAAAAACCUUACCUACCCCUUGACAUGUCAAGAAUUUUGCAGAGAUGUGAAAGUGCUCGAAAGAGAACUUGAACACAGGUGCUGCAUGGCCGUCGUCAGCUCGUGUCGUGAGAUGUUGGGUUAAGUCCCGCAACGAGCGCAACCCUUGUCAUUAGUUGCUACCGCAAGGAGCACUCUAAUGAGACUGCCGGUGACAAACCGGAGGAAGGUGGGGAUGACGUCAGGUCCUCAUGGCCCUUAUGGGUAGGGCUACACACGUCAUACAAUGGCCGGUACAGAGGGCUGCCAACCCGCGAGGGGGAGCCAAUCCCAGAAAACCGGUCGUAGUCCGGAUCGUAGUCUGCAACUCGACCGCGUGAAGUCGGAAUCGCUAGUAAUCGCGGAUCAGCUUGCCGCGGUGAAUACGUUCCCGGGUCUUGUACACACCGCCCGUCACACCAUGGGAGCGGGUUCUGCCAGAAGUAGUUAGCCUAACCGCAAGGAGGGCGAUAC
rnacentral:rRNA from 1 species